CAUCUCUCAAGCGAAUAACGGACGCACCGCAAGCAAUUUCGACGAUCAAGAGGUUCCCAGUCUUCCAUUCGAUCUAGGGUUCGUUCACGAGGUUCCCAGUCUUGGGUUCGAUCAAGAGGAUCAUCUCUCGGCAUCCUCAGUUAUGAUUACUAUUCAUCCUCGGUAAUCCCAGUUAUUGGGGAGCUAGUAGCUGGUGAUCGAGAUUCUUACCAGUAUUUGGUCAAUAGUAUCCGACGAUUCCCCCCUCAGGAGAACUUUGCUCGUAUGAUUUCUGAUGCCGGAUUCCAGAAGGUCGAAUAUUAAAAUCUUGUUGGUGGAGUAAUCUCCAUCCACUCUGGAUUGAAAUUGUAGUAGCAUACUUCAGCUCCUUUGCAAUCAGAUGGAAAUGGGGACAUGUUUGGGCUUAUGCAUCUUUAUGAAUGUAGGCAGAUAUUGCCAUAUUUUUUAGCUUGAAUUUUCAAUUUAGAUGGCUUUUAAUGUGUACCAAUUAGCACACAAUCCUUUUUUGGACAUGUAUAAGGUGAGAUGUUUUUUCUUUUCCCUGAGUGUGUGUGUGUAAGAUGUAUAUGUAGGGUCAAAAAACUGAUGUUGGAUUGA